AUACGUAGGUGGCGAGCGUUGUCCGGAAUUAUUGGGCGUAAAGAGCAUGUAGGCGGCUUAAUAAGUCGAGCGUGAAAAUGCGGGGCUCAACCCCGUAUGGCGCUGGAAACUGUUAGGCUUGAGUGCAGGAGAGGAAAGGGGAAUUCCCAGUGUAGCGGUGAAAUGCGUAGAUAUUGGGAGGAACACCAGUGGCGAAGGCGCCUUUCUGGACUGUGUCUGACGCUGAGAUGCGAAAGCCAGGGUAGCGAACGGGAUUAGAUACCCCGGUAGUCCUGGCCGUAAACGAUGGGUACUAGGUGUAGGAGGUAUCGACUCCUUCCGUGCCGGAGUUAACGCAAUAAGUACCCCGCCUGGGGAGUACGGCCGCAAGGCUUAAACUCAAAUGAAUUGACGGGG
rnacentral:rRNA from 1 species